rnacentral:lncRNA from 1 species
GUCCCCUUUUCAAAAUUAAAAUUAAUGACAUCUACACUCAGCAACCACACACAUGGGCGGGGGGCACCGUUCUUGGAGCUACUGCAAUACCAGGUCGAUGCAUGGAGUGAACUAAGUAAGCUGCUAUUGCAACCCCCUCCUACAAAAAUCCACUUUAUAUACAUUUUUUUAGACAGGGUCUCAUCAUGUCACCCACUCUGGAGCUCAGUGGUGCCAUCAUGGCUGACUGCAGCCUUGACUUCCUGGGCUCAGGCAAUCCUCCAGCCUCAGCCUCUUGAGUAGCUGGACUAUAGGUGAGCUCAGGUGAUCCUCCUGGCUCAGCUUCCCCAGUAGCUGGGACUACAGGCACGCACCACCACACCUAGCUAAUUUUUGUAUUUUUUUGUAGAGUCAGUGUCUCACUAUGUUGCCCAGGCUGGCCCCCACUGGGUUGGCCUCUGUCAUACACCCCGCGGCACCCAGACUCCUCGGUGGCCCUUAGCCUCAGGUUCAUAGACUCAUCAGUCAGGGAUUUCUAUGUUUCCUCUGUGGCUCUGCGGGGGAUGGGUUGUGACCUGUUUACCACUAGAUCCCGGGAACCCUGCUUGGGCCUGUACAUCAAAGUCCCCAAGAAGUGAAGGAGCAAGAAAGUGGCAGAAUUUUUAAAAUUUUCAAUUUAAUUUAAAAAAUUAAUGUUUUAAAAUUUGUGUUUGGAUUUAAAAUGUGAAUGGAUAUCCAUAAUUGCAUUUUUUUUUUUUUGAGAUGGGGUCUCGCUCUGUCGCCCAGGCUGGAGUGCAAUGGCAUGAUCUCGGCUUACUGCAACCUCCACCUCCUGGGUUCAAGUGAUUCUCCUGCCUCAGCCUCCCGAGUAGAUGAGAUUACAGAUGCCCACUGCCACGCCUGGCCAAUUUUUUGUAUUUUUUAGUAGAGACAGGGUUUCACCAUGUUGGCUAGGCUUGUCUCCAACUCCUGACCUCAGGUGAUUCACCUGCCUCAGCCUCCCAAAGUACUGGGAUUACAGGCGUGACCAUGACCGGCCAUAAUUGCAAUUUUUUAAACAGUUAUUUGUUUUUUGAGAUGGAGACUCACUCUGUCACUCAGGCUGGAGUGCAGUGGUGUGAUCUCAGCUCACUGCAACCUCCACCUCCCGGGUUGAAGCCAUUCUCCUGCCUCAGUCUCCCGAGUAGCUGGGACUAGAGGCACCCACCACCACACCUGGCUAAUUUUUGUAUUUUUUUUUAGUAAAGACGGGGUUUCGCCAUGUUGGCCAGGCUGGUCUUGAAAUCCUGACCUCAGCUGGUCCGCCCGCCUCAGCCUCCCGAAGGCAGGGAUUACAGGCAUGAGCCACUGCACCUGGCCUAUUAUUUCAAUUUUAAUAUCAAAUUGCUAACACUAGGCUGGGCACGGUGGCUUGUACCUGUAAUCCCAGCACUUUGGGAGGCCGAGAUGGGAAGAUCGCUUGAGCCCAAGAGUUUGAGACCAGCCUGGGCAACACAGCGAGACCCCAUCUCCUCAAAAACUCAAAAAAGUAGCCUGCCUGUAGUCUCAGCUGCUCAGGAGGCUGAGGUGGGAGGAUGAUUGCUUGAGCCUGGAAGGUCUGCUGCACUACAGCCUGGGCAACAGAGCAGGACCCUGUCCCUGUCUCGAAAAAAAAAUAAAAAUAAAAGUAAAAAUAAAAAAUAAAGAACAGGAGAGGGGCUCCGGGAUAUGGGUGGCAAAAAAAGGCAACAUGGGGUCCUAACCUGGCCAUUUUUGUCCUCACUGCUCACUGGGAUGUGGUGUGGAUGAUGCUGGGUGAUAUCACGGAACCAGCGGCGAUCCUCUCAGGCACACUCGCAUUAACAUGGCUAUGACUGGGAAGGGUGUGCUCAGAGGUGCAGGCAGAAUGGUUUUGGAGUCUGCUGCCUGCAUUUGGAUGGUUUGGCAAAAGAGAAGUGUGUGGAGGAGAGACAGAGGGAGGGAGAGAGAAAAAAGAGGAGAGAGAGAGGGAAGGAGAGCCGGGGAACCCAGGCCAGGGCGAUACAGUAUGCACUGCGUGCUCCUGCAACUUUUAUGCUCCAAAUGUUUCAAAAUAAAACCAGAGGGUGAGGAAAACAGUGAUGUGGCCAGGCCCAGUGUGCAGGCUCCAGCUCCCCAGUAUGCGUCUCCCUCCCGGCCGACUGCCAGCGCCACUGAAAGACUCAGGCCCAGGGCACCUUUGUCAUUCCCCCAACUCCACUAAAAGGUGGCAGCAAAAAUGCUCCCCCGCUCCCGGCCCUGCUGCUCCACAGCCACCCCUCACUGCUGGGUAAGGCUUCCCAGGCAACAGCAGGAGGGGCCCGAUGGUGCCACACUGAGUACAGGGCAGACGCGCCCCACAGUGACCCUGCCCUCUGACCCACCCCGGCCUCCUCUUCCUCACUCCCACUUCUUGAGGUUGCACCCGAAACGUCCUGCCCUGACAUCCUCAGGUGUCCUUAACAUCUGACAAGAACAGACAGCCAAGGGUACUUGGGAACAGGCCUGGAGCAGUUGUCAAAGAAUGAGGACUCAUGGGAAGCCUCCUGGAGGCUCGCUGACUUGGGAGCUCAAGUAGGGUAGCUGUGCUUCCUUCAUCUCCCCUCCAGCAGGGAUGGCACCCAGGGGGCCAGGGCAGGAACUCAGGUUUCCUCAGCCCACAAAUCCCCUGGAAAAAACAUGACAGGCAGGCCGCAUGUGCUUUUGUCAGGUUCCUCCCUGAACCCACCCAUGAGCUGCAGGCCUACCUCUCCCUCAGCAGAAUCCUGGAGCUACCAUUCUCAGCAAGCCUGAGCUCCCUUAGUGCCUGGGAGCUGUCAGUCUGGGAGGCUUCAUGGAGGAAGCGAGACUUGGGUCAGGGAGGGCAGUGACUAAGGGGCACUUUGGAAGGGCCCAGUAAGGGCUGGGGUGCGGAGACCCAGGGGUGGUGGCAUCAGAGCUGAGCCUCAAAGGACCCAGAAGCCUGGGAUGUUUAAAACCUGCCCAUUAUGGGGUCUAGCGAACAGCUUCUUUUAUUCUUGUUUGAAAGUAUUUUUCUG